rnacentral:rRNA from 1 species
GAGGGAAACUUCAGCUAAUACCGAAUGUGCCCUUACGGGGAAAGAUUUAUCGCCAAUGGAUUAGCCCGCGUCCGAUUAGCUAGUUGGUGGGGUAAUGGCCCACCAAGGCUCCGAUCGGUAGCUGUUCUGAGAGGAAGAUCAGCCACACUGGGACUGAGACACGGCCCAGACUCCUACGGGAGGCAGCAGUUGGGAAUCUUGGACAAUGGGGGAAACCCUGAUCCAGCCAUGCCGCGUGAGUGAUGAAGGCCUUCGGGUUGUAAAACUCUUUCGACGGGGACGAUAAUGACGGUACCCGUAGAAGAAGCUCCGGCUAACUUCGUGCCAGCAGCCGCGGUAAUACGAAGGGGGCUAGCGUUGUUCGGAAUUACUGGGCGUAAAGCGCGCGCAGGCGGUCUUUCAAGUCAGUGGUGAAAGCCCGGAGCUCAACUCCGGAAAUGCCAUUGAAACUGUAAGACUUGAGGAUGAGAGAGGUGAGUGGAAUUCCCAGUGUAGAGGUGAAAUUCGUAGAUAUUGGGAAGAACACCGGUGGCGAAGGCGGCUCACUGGCU